rnacentral:rRNA from 1 species
CAGCAGCCACGGUAACACGAAGGGGGCUAGCGUUGCUCGGAAUGACUGGGCGUAAAGGGCGCGUAGGCGGCGAUCAAAGUCAGGCGUGAAAUUCCUGGGCUCAACCUGGGGGCUGCGUUUGUUACUUGAUUGCUAGAGUGGGGAAGAGGGUCGUGGAAUUCCCAGUGUAGAGGUGAAAUUCGUAGAUAUUGGGAAGAACACCGGUGGCGAAGGCGGCGACCUGGUCCUUGACUGACGCUGAGGCGCGAAAGCGUGGGGAGCAAACAGGAUUAGAUACCCGCGUAGUCCCUGUCUCUUAUAC